rnacentral:rRNA from 1 species
UACGUAGGAUGCGAGCGUUGUCCGGAAUUAUUGGGCGUAAAGAGCUCGUAGGCGGUCUGUCGCGUCUGCUGUGAAAUCCCGAGGCUCAACCUCGGGCUUGCAGUGGGUACGGGCAGGCUAGAGUGCGGUAGGGGAGAAUGGAACUCCUGGUGUAGCGGUGGAAUGCGCAGAUAUCAGGAAGAACACCGAUGGCGAAGGCAGUUCUCUGGGCCGUAACUGACGCUGAGGAGCGAAAGCGUGGGGAGCGAACAGG